rnacentral:lncRNA from 1 species
CAGCAGCAAUUGGUUCCUAGCCUAAGGAAAGAUGCUUAAUCCUUAAGGAAUGCCAACGUUGGGAGGGGGAGGGAAGUCAGUUACAGGAGGUUACCAGACUAGCACAAUAAAAUGCAGACUUUAAGUCCUUGCCUUUGGUAUUGAUUAAGAGUUUUUAGAGAGAAGGUCAUCUCCUUUCUUCUUCCUGGUACAGAGAGGGAGGCACCUUUUACAGAUGGAGAUUUACCUUACAAAUGUAAACGUGUCCUAACAAAGGGCAAGUUCCAUUCCUCAGAGCCUCCUUGCCUGUCCCAGUUUAUCAAAAGCAAUCAGUCUCAAAUAAUCCUGAUGCCAAAGAGACAUAUCUUGGGGUGGCCAUUUCCAGGUCCCCACUGUCUCAUCCUUCUCCCACCUCCCUAACCUAGAGCAUUCAAAAUCAGACCCAUCCACCCGAGAGUGUUUCUAAACAGACACUUCUCCUAUGGAGAAGAAUUCUAAUGUAGUAAGUUUGGGUCAGUAUUUUCUAAGAGAAGCUGCAUUGUGAAGUGGAAGAAAGUACAGAACAAGGGAUCAGGAGACCUAAGUUUGAAUCCUGGCUUUGCUGUUUCUAGUCUUUUGACUUUGACAAAAAUAGCUUACUCUCUCUGAGCUUCUCUCUUCCUGUGAAAGAUGUGUCUAAUGAAUACGUCACAGGGCUCUUAUUAGGACAAGUAACAGAGCAGAUAUGCAAAGUAAAUCCUAGUGAAAGUAUGAAUGGGAUUCAGAAAUGAUUUCAUAUGCCAGGCAGUUUGGGUGACACAGAGCAAGUAUUGAACAACAUAACACCUGCUCUCAAGAGCUCACAGUUCAGUUGAAGAGAACAGGAGAUGCAGAUGACUUGAGGGGACCAGGAGGCCAGAGGAGGGGAGAUGCCUGCAGGCUGGGAAAGGCAGUGCAGGCUUCCUGGGGGAUGGCCUGGGCUCAAGCUGAGCUUCGAAGGGUAGGAUGAGCGGAGCAGCAAGAUCAUUACAAGCAAGGAGAAGAAUAGGAAGGUGGGACCAAAUUUCCGGUUGUCAGGAAAUAAACUCAAAGUCUAUGUAGGGCUAUUUAACAUGGAGUUUUGGCGAUUUAUUUUUUUUUGAGAAUCUGGUGAAACCUCUGGACCCCGUCCACAAAAUAUUUUGCACAAUUUCAGGAGGUUAUCGACUCUCAGACUCUGGGUAAAAGUCUCUUGUUUUCAGAGUUUUAUUUUCCUAUUUCCAGACUUGAUUCUCAUGUUUCCCUCUUUGGAGCCAAAACUUUUUGACUUUUGUCUUUAUUGAUUUUUCCUGGAUUCUUCCUAUGCAUAAGAACUAUUGAGGUUUUAGGUAGCCCAAGAAAUGAGACUACUGUUUCGUGCCCGCAUUCAAAACCAGUUAAGAGAGGAAGGAAAAGCAGACAAGUAGAUGAGGAUCAAAAAGUCACCUUAAUUAGUGAUAAAAUGUGUUUUGCAUGAUGUGGCUAAGAAAUGUGGCAACAAUGAACUUCCUAAGACUCCCUGUCCCCAAGUUAGAUCUUGGACCAGCAUGCUGGAGGGAAAUAUUGAGCCUACAGAGCAAACACGCUUCAUGAGCUCCCAGCCAUGCGAUGCUGGAGUGGAAGAGAGCAUAAGGGGAAUGGAUUCCAUUUACUUAGGACCUUGGAUACAUUGUCUCUACCCAAUCGAGAUAUAUGUGCUAAUCACUGUCUUUCCUUAACCAAGGAACUCACUUGACUUCAUUAGGGAAGAAAAAGGCUUAGAGUAAGAGACCAGGAACAUUUUAAGCAGAUCCCUCCUCAUUAGACAGAAGAGAAAUGCCUGUACUCCAAAAAAGAACACUUUUCCUUCUUUCCUUCUUCCCUUUCAUUCAUUCAAUCAUUCAAUAGAUAUGCACUGAGUUCCUAAUAUGUUGCAAAUUACUGUGCUGGGCUCUGGGGAUAAAAUGGUGAGGAAGAGACACAGUUUCUGCCCUCCUAGAGAUUUCCAUGUGGAGAAUGAAAUAGACAUUAAACAAUUAAACCUACCAACAAUACAUAUUACUCACUGUAGUGUGAAAGCAAUGACUGAAGGGUGUGGGGAGCUAUCAGGGUGUGUAACAGGUGGCCUGACAGAGUUAAGUCUGCAAAGACUUUUCCUAAGCGACAUUUAGCAGAUAAGGAUGUUCUAGGUCUUUAUCUCGACUCUUCUUCUUCCUUAUGCCAUCAUUUGGAGUGGACUUGCGGUCCUAGCGUAUACUUUCGCACCUCUCUAAGACACAGACUUUGACAUCUUUUCUGGUUCCAAAAGGUGACCAUCUUAAAUCCCAGAGAAUAUAUUUGUCAUGUUCACCCCUCAAUGGGCAAUGAUCAUCAGAGGCGAUGGGUGAAUUUCCUCAGCUCACUUCCCAGAGAUGGUUUGUCAGAAACCAUGUAUUGUAGAGGUGGUGGGAUUCUGGAGGGAAGUGAGGUUUUCUUGUCCCGGAUGCAACAUCGUGGACAUAGACAAAAUCAAAAGGCAGACACACAGAAGUACCAAAUGAAUUAGUGAUACUUGAAAAUACAAACAUUUAAUCAACGAAAACACACAAAUGAUUAUAAUAAACAGUUGCCAGGCUAAUGGGCUAUCAGUGAUUAUAAAGACUAGUAUAACACAAAGAAUUAGUUGAAAAUUAUUUUAUGCCAUUAGAUCAAUGGAAUACAGAAUUGUGGAUCAAUGAAUGAUACGGUUAUGAAACAGAGUAUGCAUGGAAGUGUCAACUUGGUUAUGAAAUUAGAACAGAGAUUAAUUCUGAAAGAGAUGCUUCCAAGGAAAUAGAAGAGAGACCCAGCAAAAAGCUUCCCCACACUUCCUCUGAAUGGCAGAAUCAAAGGUAAAUAGAAAACUGAGAACAAAGGAGAAUUGUCCAAUGUAGUCUAGACAAGGCUGAGCAUCCUGUUUAUGAAGUCCAGGCUCAGUGAAAAAAAGACAAAGGCACUGGGCAGGCUGGAUGGAUGGGUAGUCAGAAGUGACCAUUACGAUCUAGGGCAGGAUAUUGAGAUGUCAUGCUGGAAGUGACAUCAUUCCACAGGGAAAAUUCAAGAGGAAAGAGAAUCCAUUGAAUAGCCUGGGAUUCAAGAUGAGCAGUAGGAAAACAGUAAAUUUUGGGAGUUAGGAUUCAGAUACGAAUGGUCUUGUGCAGUUUCAUUUAACAGUGUUUGUUUAUGUCAGCACUCCUUCCAUAAACUCCUGGGCCCUUCUUUACAUUCCCACAAGUUCAUCUGUAAUACUUUUCAAAGAAAAGCACAUUGGUUCUGGAGCCUAACAGAUACCAGCUGAUAAGAUACAGGGAAAAGGCACUCUGGCUUGUCAAAGAAGAAGAGUGCAGAUACAAACAGACCUUGGGAUACAAAAUAAAAGAAGAUGCAGGAAAACAGAAUUCACUGAAAGCAUCCAUUAGCCACUACUGUAACCAAAGCAGUAUGAAUAUCAUUUUUCUAUUCAUAGGUAAAUAGGGAAACUAUGAAUCGAAUAGAUAAAUGUGAGAUGGUGGAGGGGAUGGUGGUGGGCAGGGAGUAGAAAUGAAAUCUAUUGAACAAAAACACAGAGAAUUAGCUGAAAAAAAUAAUUGUAAGUGACUAGGUCAAUGAAAUAUAGAAUCCUGAGUGGCAUGCCCUUUGCCACUAGAUUUUAAAAGUCUUUAAAAAUCUCCACUUUUAUCCCCUACUGCCCCUAUCUCUCACCCAAAUAUCUCACACUAAAUUUUAUAUGUAUAUAUAUCUUAGUCUGACAAGUUCUUAGCUCUGAGGCAGGUAAAAAGAAUGUGGUUUAUAGCUCUCAAUACCACAAGCUCAGUCAUUAUUCAGAAGUAACUGGAAUACAGUUUACUGUUGAGAUAUAAUGGGUUUUGAAAACAUAAUAACAUUCAAUGACCAAACAGCUGGGAUGUUUUAUAACUGGGGAAUAAAAACAUCUAUUACUUCCCUCUAAGAGACUCUAGAGCUGUAUAUAUUGCCAUAUAUUCUUAGUAUCAUAACUUGAAACUACUGACUCGAAGUUCCAAAGUCCUCCAGGAUAUACAUCAUAGAAACAAAAACUACUUAAGUUCCAGUUGGCAGAUACCUCCUACAUCAAACUCCUACAGUUCAGAAGGCAGAGUAAUGAACUUAGAUGUGUAGACUUUGGUAAGCCUAUAAAGUUUAAGAUCUCUCCAAAUUUUCUAAAAGAAAUGUAAUACGUUUUAGUAUUUGACAAUCAUAUUGUUUGGGAGAGAAAAAGGGAUAGAUGCAGAAUAUCAGUUUUCUCCAGUUCGUAUUAAACCAUCUAACUACUACUUUAACUUCCUUCAACUUUUCAUGCCCAACUUAUUCUUAAACUAAAACAACUUUCAACGAAAUGCCUUCAUUCACAUUUAUUUUGAAAUUAAAGCUAUUUUGAAACUCUAACAAAGACAUAGUAAACCAGCACUUUGAUACAUUACUAACGGCAGUUUAGAUCUGCACAACCCAUUUUCUGGUCGUGAGACUGCUAUCUUCGUCGUCCCAACCUUUAGAUUUAGAACCUUCUCUUGACUUGAAUAGCUACUAGCUUGGGGAUUGCAUCAGCAAUGUUCCCAAUAUUUAUAUGAGAUCAGAUCCUCAAAAUGCCAUUUUAAGACCCAAUUUUGUGCCGGAAGUGAGAAGACUGGGGACCAGAUACAAGCAAGCAUGAAACUGUCAGAUAAAGAAAGAUGGUCAUAGAGGACAGGAAAAAGCAAGGGAAACAAAGUAAGACAAAAACUCAACAACUACCAUAACAAACUCGUAAAUAAAUUGAAGAAACCUAGUGGUAUGAAGCCAUCAAAAUCACCAAUUUGAAAGUGAAUUUACUCCAUAUGAAAUUAAAUUUAUGAAAUAGUCCAAAAUAUAUUGAUACAUAUAUCUAGGAUGCUUGAAUUUGUAUGCUAAUGUCUUUGUUAUCAAAAGUUUGUCCUUCUCUCUAGAAAGGAAGGGAAGAGAGAAGGAGUGAGGCAGGAGAUGUGGAGAGGGAGGGAGAAAGAAGAAGGAGGGAGAAAAAGUUCGGGGAAAAUAUACCACAGCCAAGGUUAUUUUCACAUUUAUGGCGGGUAGUGAUUCCUGAGACUUAUACAGCUGAAUGAUUUUAUAUGUUUUUGGCCAGAGAGAACUCUGGGAUAGAAAUGUCUGAGAUGUAUAAUUGUAACAGCAAGCAUAUGUUCUGAAAUUAUAGAUACUGCAUGUUAUUAUUUCAUUGCAUACACAGGAUUUUGCAUUCAAGGAGAAACGUUCCUCCAAGAAGCUCGAGGCAUUUUAUGAAAUCUAAUUCCAAUCAACCACUGCAGUCGGCAUAAUAAAUCAUUGUUAAUAGAGAGUAUUCUCAACGGGUACUUCGAAAUUUGUUUAAAACUUUGGUAAUAGCUGUAUACUUCUCUUUCUUCGAUUUCUCCAACAAAGCCCUCUUUAAAUAUAAGAUUAUUGAAUAAACCAUUUCUGCAGGUAGCCAUAUGAGGUUUUUUAAAAAGAAAAGAGAAAUAGAGCCCUCUUUAGACUUCCUAUUCAUUGGUUUUCAGAAAUCUUGUAUACAGCAAAGUAUCAAAUGUCUAAGUAGGUGAAAUGAGAAGCAAAGUUUUAAAAACAAAAGUGACUAUACCAGAUAGUGCCUGUUUGCACUCCCAAGCCCCAUUUUCCAUCCUCUUCAUCCAGCUGUGCCCAGGAUGCCAACCUCUAUGGAUGCAUCUCUAGACCCCUUUGCCUUCUGGCUUUCUGUUUGGUUCAGCCAUGAGGGGCGGGCCACCAGCAGGCUGUCAGAAAGUGGAAGCUGAGGGCAGUGGAGGUAUUUAUUUCCCUGCCGCUUCCCUGCUGGGCCACAGUUUGGAUGGGACUGCCCUCCCUACAGCCACAGCUCCCGUCAGGUGGCCCCAUCUGUGGUUUGAGUUCUUGUGACGUUGCUAUAGCCUGUCUCUCCUUUUGCCCCUCAGGCUGAAGAUGGUAAUGGCUUCCGACUGCUGCCCGGCCCUCAGUGUCACCAUCCCUUAUUAGCAUCCUUAACACUGCCCACUCCUCUAUAAAUAGGCUAGUUAUUAAUCACCCUUCAUUUAUUCCUUCAAGUGGACCCUCUGUUUCUUGUGAUGACUGCCUGUAAGAGUGACUUUGAUGGCUUUGAUCUUGUCAUCAGAUUUGUGCCUAGAGAAAAGUACCACUACUGUGUGCUGGGGGUGUAUGACUUUCUGAGAUCAGCUUUUUCUUUCCAAAGAGGAAAUAAACCCUUUCGUUGUGCAAAUAUCAACAAUGAUGAUGUCUAAUUCAGAGGAAAAGUGUUUGCAGUCUUGAAAUCUGUGUGUGGCUGUGAGCAGUGAGAGAGAGAUUGAAGGAGAGAAGUGGAAGAAGGCUCUGCAGAAGCUCUGGGAGAUGGGCUGGUGCACUCAGUAUGCAAAGAGCAGGAGAAAAUGCAAAGUAGGCAGGAGGGAAGCUUAUAAGGACCAGGAGCAAGACCCUAGAAACUAUGGUAGCAACCUUAUCUUCCAGGGGGAGUCUGCAAGUUCCUGCCACGUGCUUGGUAGGAGCAGAGACCCUGUAGGAGGUGAGGGCUGAUUCGUUCCAAGAGAUCACUGGAGACAAUGAGGGAAUCUCCUACACAGACAGGAAGGAGGGUGAAACAAGUGUGGUCAGCCCCUCCUGGCUGAAGGAUGGAUAAUAAUUCCUGAGAAAUGAGGAAGGACAAACUUGGACUCAAGUUAACCUUGUACAGUUCACUUAGAGGCGAAAUGUCAGACAUCCGUAAUUAGUGAAAUAAUCUAAUUUAAAUGUUUGGCAAAUC